rnacentral:rRNA from 1 species
AUUGAACGCUUGCGGCAGGCCUAACACAUGCAAGUCGAGCGAGCGGCGGACGGGUGAGUAAUGUAUGGGGACUGCCCGAUAGAGGGGGAUAACUACUGGACACGGUAGCUAAUACCGCAUACUAUCGGAUAACCCAUAUGGGAUUAGCUAGUCGGUGAGGUAAUGGCUCACCUAGGCGACGAUCCCUAGCUGGUCUGAGAGGAUGAUCAGCAACACUGGGACUGAGACACGGCCCAUACUCCUACGGAGGAAGCAGUGGGGAAUAUUGCGCAAGGGGCGCAAGACUGAUGCAGCCAUGCGGCGUGAAUGAAGAAGGCCCUAGGGUUGUAAAGUACUUUCAGUAGGGAGGCGGUACCGACAGAAGAAGCAAAGGCGAACUCCGUGCCAGCAGCCGCGGUAAUUC